rnacentral:rRNA from 1 species
CCAGACUCCUACGGGAGGCAGCAGUGGGGAAUAUUGCACAAUGGGGGGAACCCUGAUGCAGCGACGCCGCGUGGGUGAAGAAGUCAUUCGUGACGUAAAGCCCUAUCAGCAGGGAAGAAAAUGACGGUACCUGACUAAGAAGCCCCGGCUAACUACGUGCCAGCAGCCGCGGUAAUACGGAGGAUGCGAGCGUUAUCCGGAUUUAUUGGGUUUAAAGGGUGCGUAGGCGGGCUUUUAAGUCAGCGGUAAAAAUUCGGGGCUCAACCCCGUCCGGCCGUUGAAACUGAUGUUCUUGAGUGGGCGAGAAGUAUGCGGAAUGCGUGGUGUAGCGGUGAAAUGCAUAGAUAUCACGCAGAACUCCGAUUGCGAAGGCAGCAUACCGGCGCCCAACUGACGCUGAAGCACGAAAGCGUGGGUAUCGAACAGGAUUAGAUACCCGUGUA